rfam:Brassica napus, WGS project CCCW01000000 data, contig: 5854
GGAAUAUAAGAAUCCGUCUCUUAAUUUUUAAUUAAAAAACCAAGAACCGAUUUUUAAAUAAGAUAUUUAAGAACCGGUUCUUAGCAUUUUUAAUUAAAAGUUAAGAGACGGUUUUUUAUAUUCC